UCUUAGGCCAUCAGACUCUCCUUAGAGCAAGCCCUGCCUCCUGAGCCAAAGGAAGAAAAUACUGAGCCCGUGAGCAAACUGCGGAUCCGGACCCCCAGUGGCGAAUUCCUGGAGCGGCGUUUCCUGGCCAGCAAUAAGCUCCAGAUUGUCUUUGAUUUUGUAGCUUCCAAAGGAUUUCCAUGGGAUGAGUACAAGUUACUGAGCACCUUUCCUAGGAGAGAUGUAACUCAGUUGGACCCAAAUAAAUCAUUAUUGGAGGUAAAGUUGUUCCCUCAAGAAACCCUUUUCCUUGAAGCAAAAGAGUAAACACAGCCCAGCGGUGGAACCAGCCAUUCCUUGACAAGCCAGCGGCCUGCAUCAAGAGAAGGGCUCCUCACCAACCCACCCAUACGCUCGUCUCACUCAAUUCAAUGUCACACUUCUGCCUCUUGCAAGAUUGCUGGAAAAAGUAAUAAUAAACAUAGCUACUUAAAAUUUCCCA